GUCUAUGCCAUGCCACCCUGAGUAAGCCCGAUGUCUGAUCUUGGAAGCUAAGCAGGGUCGGGCCUAGUUAGUACUUGGAUGGGAGACCACCUAGGAAGACCAGGUGCUGUAGGCA
rnacentral:rRNA from 1 species